GACGAACGCUGGCGGCGUGCUUAACACAUGCAAGUCGAACGGAAAGGCCCUGCUUUUGUGGGGUGCUCGAGUGGCGAACGGGUGAGUAACACGUGAGUAACCUGCCCUUGACUUUGGGAUAACUUCAGGAAACUGGGGCUAAUACCGGAUAGGAGCUCCUGCUGCAUGGUGGGGGUUGGAAAGUUUCGGCGGUUGGGGAUGGACUCGCGGCUUAUCAGCUUGUUGGUGGGGUAGUGGCUUACCAAGGCUUUGACGGGUAGCCGGCCUGAGAGGGUGACCGGCCAAAUGGGGAUGGAGAAACGGCCCAGACCCCUAGGGGGGGAAGCAGGGGGGAAAAUUGAAAAAGGGGGGGAAGCCGGAUGCAGCAACGCCGCGGGGGGGAUGACGGCCUUGGGGUUGAAAACCGCUUUCGCCUGUGACGAAGCGUGGGGGAGGGAAAUGGGAAAAGAAACACCGGUAAACUACGG
rnacentral:rRNA from 1 species